UAUUGCUGCCCUCCGCUGUUCUCUAAUCGCUAUUCACAACUUGAUUAAAAGUAAUUUACCUGUCUUGUAGAUUUCUACCGCCCAAAAUAUACACGCAUAUUCACUUCCGGUUAUUGAUGGCGUUUUGGUUUGUUGCAACCAACAGUCUACAACUUGAAACACCCGUUAAAUUGUGCAGCCUUUGGGUUCGUUUCAUAAAUGAGUGUUGUGGAAUCUGGAAAUAAGUUCAAAUCGGCGACUGCAACAGGAGCGAUACUGGAGAGCAGCAACUGGUUCGUUCGCCUCGCUGGUGCUGCUGCUGCAACAUCUACAACCGACGGAGGAGAACGGGCUGACCGACACAAUUCACGUGUAAUCUUGGUGGAAUAACGCGCGUUGAGCUGCUUUUACACAUUUUUACAGGCUUUACAGUACUUGGAGAGCAGAUCUUCUUCGCCAAUGGCAAGUCCGGUUGCAGACAUAGGACAGUCUCAUCAGCAUCACCCUGUGACCGACUCGGCCACAGACUCCGCGUUCCAGGAGGCGCAGACAUGGAUAGAGGUCCAGGCUCCUAGACGAGUCAAGAAGCUGACCGAAACAAAACGCACAGCCGUCCCAGACACACUACAUCUCCACACUUUUUUCCACAGCUGUGUAAAUAAAUGUAAAAUAAACUCUCAGG
rnacentral:lncRNA from 1 species